rnacentral:rRNA from 1 species
UACAGAGGGUGCAAGCGUUGUUCGGAAUUAUUGGGCGUAAAGGGCGCGUAGGCGGUGCUGUAAGUCUGUGGUGAAAUCUCUGGGCUCAACUCAGAGUCUGCCAUAGAAACUGCAGUGCUGGAGUGUGGGAGAGGUGAGUGGAAUUCCCGGUGUAGCGGUGAAAUGCGUAGAUAUCUGGAGGAACACCGGUGGCGAAGGCGGCAUCCUGGACCGAUGCUGACACUGAGGAGCGAAAGCCAGGGGAGCAAACGGG